CAAAGAACCAGAGAUAUGAAGUUGCUCGAUUGCCCCCCAGGCCUUUUUAUGUGACCUUUAUUUGAAAGAAAUGUCAGGAAAAACAACAACAAAUCCGCAAACAUGAAAGAAUGCAACAGCAGGAAUAGAGAAAGGUGAAAAGAGGAAUAUCUGCACUGUGACACUGUACCUAGAAAUUCUAGGGUGCAAAACACAGCCUCACACUGCGAAAAGCAGAUCAUCAAAGCAGACUUGCUAAAUCACCUUCCACUGUGCAAGUGAGAAAGAAGCAAGAUGAAAUGGUGGUAGAGAUCCCAGUCUUACCUCAACAUGGAGCUAGACCACAGUGCACAAAAACAUGAAGUCAUG
rnacentral:lncRNA from 1 species